UACGGGGGGGGCAAGCGUUGUUCGGAAUUACUGGGCGUAAAGAGCUCGUAGGUGGUUUGUCGCGUUGUUCGUGAAAACUCACAGCUCAACUGUGGGCGUGCGGGCGAUACGGGCAGACUGGAGUACUGCAGGGGAGACUGGAAUUCCUGGUGUAGCGGUGGAAUGCGCAGAUAUCAGGAGGAACACCGGUGGCGAAGGCGGGUCUCUGGGCAGUAACUGACGCUGAGGAGCGAAAGCGUGGGGAGCGAACAGG
rnacentral:rRNA from 1 species